AGAGUUUGAUCCUGGCUCAGGAUGAACGCUAGCGACAGGCUUAACACAUGCAAGUCGAGGGGCAUCAUGAGGUAGCAAUACCUUGAUGGCGACCGGCGCACGGGUGAGUAACGCGUAUGCAACCUGCCGAUACUCGGGGAUAGCCCAUGGAAACGUGGAUUAACACCCCAUAGUACUUUUAUCCUGCCUGGGAUGGGAGUUAAAUGUUCAAGGUAUCGGAUGGGCAUGCGUCCUAUUAGUUAGUUGGCGGGGUAACAGCCCACCAAGACGAUGAUAGGUAGGGGUUCUGAGAGGAAGGUCCCCCACAUUGGAACUGAGACACGGUCCAAACUCCUACGGGAGGCAGCAGUGAGGAAUAUUGGUCAAUGGACGAGAGUCUGAACCAGCCAAGUCGCGUGAGGGAAGACUGCCCUAUGGGUUGUAAACCUCUUUUAUAAGGGAAGAAUAAGUUCUACGUGUAGAAUGAUGCCUGUACCUUAUGAAUAAGCAUCGGCUAACUCCGUGCCAGCAGCCGCGGUAAUACGGAGGAUGCGAGCGUUAUCCGGAUUUAUUGGGUUUAAAGGGUGCGUAGGCGGUUUAUUAAGUUAGUGGUUAAAUAUUUGAGCUAAACUCAAUUGUGCCAUUAAUACUGGUAAACUGGAGUACAGACGAGGUAGGCGGAAUAAGUUAAGUAGCGGUGAAAUGCAUAGAUAUAACUUAGAACUCCGAUAGCGAAGGCAGCUUACCAGACUGUAACUGACGCUGAUGCACGAGAGCGUGGGUAGCGAACAGGAUUAGAUACCCUGGUAGUCCACGCCGUAAACGAUGCUCACUGGUUCUGUGCGAUAUAUUGUACGGGAUUAAGCGAAAGUAUUAAGUGAGCCACCUGGGGAGUACGUCGGCAACGAUGAAACUCAAAGGAAUUGACGGGGGCCCGCACAAGCGGAGGAACAUGUGGUUUAAUUCGAUGAUACGCGAGGAACCUUACCUGGGUUUAAAUGGGAAAUGUCGUAUUUGGAAACAGAUAUUCUCUUCGGAGCGUUUUUCAAGGUGCUGCAUGGUUGUCGUCAGCUCGUGCCGUGAGGU
rnacentral:rRNA from 1 species